rnacentral:rRNA from 1 species
AUUGAACGCUGGCGGCAGACCUAACACAUGCAAGUCGAGCGGAUGAAGGGAGCUUGCUCCUGGAUUCAGCGGCGGACGGGUGAGUAAUGCCUAGGAAUCUGCCUGGUAGUGGGGGAUAACGUCCGGAAACGGGCGCUAAUACCGCAUACGUCCUGAGGGAGAAAGUGGGGGAUCUUCGGACCUCACGCUAUCAGAUGAGCCUAGGUCGGAUUAGCUAGUUGGUGGGGUAAAGGCCUACCAAGGCGACGAUCCGUAACUGGUCUGAGAGGAUGAUCAGUCACACUGGAACUGAGACACGGUCCAGACUCCUACGGGAGGCAGCAGUGGGGAAUAUUGGACAAUGGGCGAAAGCCUGAUCCAGCCAUGCCGCGUGUGUGAAGAAGGUCUUCGGAUUGUAAAGCACUUUAAGUUGGGAGGAAGGGCAGUAAGUUAAUACCUUGCUGUUUUGACGUUACCAAAAGAAUAAGCACCGGCUAACUUCGUG